rnacentral:rRNA from 1 species
GCGGCAGGCUUAACACAUGCAAGUCGAGCGGAUGAAGGUAGCUUGCUACUGGAUUCAGCGGCGGACGGGUGAGUAAUGCUUAGGAAUCUGCCUAUUAGUGGGGGACAACGUUCCGAAAGGNGCGCUAAUACCGCAUACGUCCUACGGGAGAAAGCAGGGGACCUUNGGGCCUUGCGCUAAUAGAUGAGCCUAAGUCGGAUUAGCUAGUUGGUAGGGUAAAGGCCUACCAAGGCGACGAUCUGUAGCGGGUCUGAGAGGAUGAUCCGCCACACUGGGACUGAGACACGGCCCAGACUCCUACGGGAGGCAGCAGUGGGGAAUAUUGGACAAUGGGGGGAACCCUGAUCCAGCCAUGCCGCGUGUGUGAAGAAGGCCUUUUGGUUGUAAAGCACUUUAAGCGAGGAGGAGGCUACCUAGAUUAAUACUUUAGGAUAGUGGACGUUACUCGCAGAAUAAGCACCGGCUAACUCUGUGCCAGCAGCCGCGGUAAUACAGAGGGUGCGAGCGUUAAUCGGAUUUACUGGGCGUAAAGCGUGCGUAGGCGGCCAAUUAAGUCAAAUGUGAAAUCCCCGAGCUUAACUUGGGAAUUGCAUUCGAUACUGGUUGGCUAGAGUAUGGGAGAGGAUGGUAGAAUUCCAGGUGUAGCGGUGAAAUGCGUAGAGAUCUGGAGGAAUACCGAUGGCGAAGGCAGCCAUCUGGCCUAAUACUGACGCUGAGGUACGAAAGCAUGGGGAGCAAACAGGAUUAGAUACCCUGGUAGUCCAUGCCGUAAACGAUGUCUACUAGCCGUUGGGGCCCUUGAGGCUUUAGUGGCGCAGCUAACGCGAUAAGUAGACCGCCUGGGGAGUACGGUCGCAAGACUAAAACUCAAAUGAAUUGACGGGGGCCCGCACAAGCGGUGGAGCAUGUGGUUUAAUUCGAUGCAACGCGAAGAACCUUACCUGGCCUUGACAUACAGAGAACUUUCCAGAGAUGGAUUGGU